ensembl:miRNA
CUAUUAGGUUGGUGCAAAAGUAAUCGUGAUUUUUGCCAUUAAAAUUAAUGUCAAAAUCUCAAUUACAAAAAUCGCAAUUACUUUUGCACCAACCUAAUACAUCCCA